GACGAACGCUGGCGGCGUGCUUAACACAUGCAAGUCGAACGGAAAGGCCCUGCUUUUGUGGGGUGCUCGAGUGGCGAACGGGUGAGUAACACGUGAGUAACCUGCCCUUGACUUUGGGAUAACUUCAGGAAACUGGGGCUAAUACCGGAUAGGAGCUCCUGCUGCAUGGUGGGGGUUGGAAAGUUUCGGCGGUUGGGGAUGGACUCGCGGCUUAUCAGCUUGUUGGGGGGGUAGUGGCGUACCAAGGCUUUGACGGGUAGCCGGCCUGAGAGGGUGACCGGGCACAAUGCGCCUGAGAGACGGACCAGAAGGCUACGGGCGGCAGCAGUGGGGAAUCUUGCACAAUGGGCGGACGUCUGAUGCAGCAACGCUGCGUGCGGGAUGCUGGCCUUUGGGUUAUAAACCACUUUCGCCUGUGACGAAGAGUGCGUGACGGUAAUUGGUAAAGAAGCCACGGCUAACUACGUG
rnacentral:rRNA from 1 species